UUGUUUCGGCCCCCAUUUUAACGACCCCUGACCCAUCUCGUCAGUUCAUUGUGGAGAAUAAAUUCUAGGCAGGCUCGCUGGGCAUUAUUUUUCGGACGUUUCAGGUUUACCAUUUCUUAUCGCCCAGGCUCUAAGAAUGGUAAACCUGACGCGCUGUCGCGGGUUUUUGAGGCUGAGGCUAGUCCCACCCUCCCGGUGGCCAUUUUGCAUCCCAAACGGGUUGUGGCUGCGGUCACCUGGGGGGUGGAGUCCAAGGUCCGCGCGGCACAACGCCAUGCUUCUGUUCCCAUUGGAUGCCCAGAGGGUCUGCUCUUUGUACCUGAGUCAGUCCGAACUAGUGUACUUCAGUGGGGCCACUCUUCUAGUCUAGCUUGCCACCCUGGAGCGACUCAUACUUGUAGGUUAAUCAAGCAGUGGUUUUGGUGGCCGUCCGUGGCUCAGGAUGCUCGACGGUUUGUGUCGGCCUGUCCAAUUUGCGCUUUGGGUAAGGGAUCCAAUCGACCCCCUGCAGGGCUACUUCAGCCGUUGUCGGUCCCUUCGCGGCCCUGGUCACACAUAGCGAUGGACUUUGUGACUGGCUUGCCUCCAUCUAGAGGCAAGACGGUGGUUCUCACUGUGGUGGACAGGUUCUCAAAGGCGGUCCAUUUUAUUCCCCUCCCCAAAUUGCCGUCAGCGAGGGAGACAGCGACUACGGUCUUAGAUCAUGUUUUCCGUAUUCAUGGCCUCCCGGUGAACGUGGUUUCUGACAGAGGUCCCCAGUUUGUGUCUAGGUUUUGGACAGAGUUCUGUCGACAGCUGGGGGCGACUGCGAGCCUAUCUUCCGGUUAUCACCCACAGACUAAUGGUCAGGCCAAGCGUGCAAACCAAGAUUUGGAGAGAGUCCUGCGCUGUGUGGCGUCUGCUGAACCGUCAUCUUGGAGUUCCAGGUUGACCAUGGUAGAGUAUGCUCAUAACUCCCUCCCGGUCUCAUCUACGGGUUUGUCUCCCUUCCAGUUCUGUUUAGGCUACCAGCCACCUCUAUUCCCCUCUCAAGCAUCCGAUGCCGUUGUUCCUUUAUUCAGAGAUGCCUCCGUACUUGGAGGAUCGCCAGAGAAGCCCUCACUCGGACUGGCGAGAGGAACAAGGCAUCGGCGGACCGUCACCAUACUAAGCCCCCACUUUACGUGUGUGGUCAGAGAUUCUGGUUGUCUACUAAGGACAUUAACUUCAGACUGCCCUCACGUAAACUGUGCCCUCACGUAAAAAAUGGUCCGGAGGAGAGAUGCUGGAUUCCGGCUCGCGAUAUUCUGGAUCGCGCUCUCAUUGAUCAAUUUCAUCAGCGUCAUGGUGAGUCCUCCGGGGACGCCAGGAGGCGUCCCUGAGGUGGGGGGUACUGUCACGGUGCAGGGUGCCUCUCAGCUUCCCCUGUGGUCUGUGUUGUCCUGUCUGUUCAGUAGCUCGUGGUCUGGGCAAUCAGCGCUAAUCAUGGCGGGGUUGUGCAGAACACGAGCUUAUUCUCCCCACCUGUCGCUCAUUCCCCCACUCCCUUUAUAUAUCUCUGCUUUUCUGUCUGUGGUCGUGAGUAGAUUGUUUUGUCUUUGCCCAUGUUUUGCACUGUUUCUCAGUAUCAGUCUCACCUUCUGUUCUUGUGCCAAAGGAUUCAUAAUUCGGAGAUCCAGCAGCGCGAGUGGUCCGCAGUGUGCCGGCCAGCUCGGAGAUCUGUGUGCGCCAGAGCUUUUCGUUAUUGUUUAUGUUAUUUUGUGUUUUGUGGCGAGAAUAAAGAUUCUCCUUUUCUAACUCUGCAUCUGAGUCCUCUAUCCAGUACGCACCCCAUGACAGAAUUAUAUAUGGAAUUAUAUACAUAAAAAAAAGUGUGAAACAACUGAAAAUAUGUCAUAUUCUAGGUUCUUCAAAGUCGCCACCUUUGCUUUGAUUACUGCUUUGCACACUCUUGGCAUUCUCUUGAUGAGCUUCAAGAGGUAGUCACCUGAAAAAGUCUUCCAAAAGUCUUGAAGGAGUUCCCAGAGAGAUGCUUAGCAAUUGUUGGCCCUUUUGCCUUCAGUCUGCGGUCCAGCUCACCCCUAAACCAUCUCGAUUGGGUUCAGGUCCGGUGACUGUGGAGGCCAGGUAAUCUGGCGCAGCACCCAAUCACUCUCCUUCUUGGUCAAAUAGCCCUUGAUGCCUUCAGUGUGACUCUACAAUUUUCAUAGUCUUGAAAAUAAGGAAUACUCUUUGAAUGAGAAGGUGUGUCCAAACUUUUGGUCUGUACUGUAUCUCAUCAGACUUGGACAUCAAUAGUUGAUGCUUCCUGCAGGUGUAACAGGUUCAAAAAGAGAUUGCUCCAUUCUAUCAUUGACAUAUGUCUCUUUGUUGUAGAUUUUGUAACACAGCCUUAUAAAAGAUGUGGGCCAAUGUUUGAAUGACAAACUUUACACAUUUUUAGUGUUUGCGAUGAACAAAGUAAACCCAAGGCUAGCUCGACAUGAAUGCCUCUUACUUUCACCCUACAUUGUGAGUGGUUCCAGGUCCUUGACAGUCAAUCACAUACCCUUUUGUAGUGAUUUAACAAUUAUCCUUUCGGUUUAGGUGAUGCUGCCAUCGGUGAUGGUGUAAGUCAGUACUUCGUCAGCUUUGCUAUAAAGACCUUGCAGUCUGGAUUCCACAUCAAUUUUGGCAAUGCUGAUGUGACUAGGCUGUUUGAGGGACAGAAGGAUCACCUCAUCCCCUGUGACUCCGAGCCACUAACUGAUUCUGUCCUUUUUCUGAUGGCAGGUAGAAUGUUGGGACAUUCAUUUAUACAUGGUGGCCCGGGAUUGCCAGGGAUCAGUCCUUCUCUAGUCCAUGUGCUCUUAGGGGGCCAGUUGGAGACAGCGGCAUUGGUAUUGGAGGAUUGCCCUGAUAUCGAUCAAAGGAACACAAUCCAGUUGCUGGAUGGCAACAGGGAGCUAUCUGAGAAAACCAGAAAGCGGCUGUCAAUAGGCUAGUUGACGUGGGAAUUGCCAUGACUGACUAAUCUGAACAGACAAUAUCUUCAUCAGAGGCCGUUGCAGCAUGUGUGGUUAUGAAUCAAACAGAUAAGAAAGGGCUUAAAAGAAACAGGAGUGUGGUCAAUACUGUCAGAAAGAAGAGAUGUGGCUGAAGCUGUCUUCCCGUGUGAAAAAAUAAGUUAUCUGCAGCCCCCAGGUCAUGAUUUGUCACAUCAUCUGGCCAACAAUUGAGGUUGUUGAGGACGAAGAAGAGGGAUUUCCACUUGAGACAAGAGCCAAAAUUGGAAUGUACCUUCGCCAUUUCAUUGAAACGGCACCAGAAGCAUCUCGGAUUAUCCUACUCAAGUUUUGGACUGGAUGGGAAGUUCUCUCUGGGCAGCUGAAGCUGGAGGUGGUACGUGGGGAGUUCUCAAAAUCCUUGACUUGUUACCAGAGCCUACGCAUCCCUCGCCACUUCUCAACUUAUGAGGAACUUCAACAAGCAAUUGAAGCAUCUAUUGGGACAUCCGAUACUGGAUUUGGACUGAAAUAAUGCAGCUCCAUGCAAUACAUGUGUGAAACAUGUCAGUUCUAAAUUUCCUUUAUUCAAAUUUCAUUUAUUUUAGGCCAACAUAUAUUUAACAAUGUUGAAGUUAAGAAAAAAAUGGCAUCUUUACAGGCCGUGGAGUUGUAGCAUAAUGUUGUCAUAAUGAAUGGUGUUUAAAAAAAAUAUAUUACAAAAUGCAUGUUCGGUAAGUGUUUAUUCACAGUAUUCCCUUUGUGUCCAGUAUUCAUUCAGGGUUACAUUUACAAUGUUUAAACCAAAUUUUUUAAGAGAAUGUUCACAACCUGUUGUACUGAGUGUUCUGUAACAGAAAUGACUCGAACCAAACAGACAGAACCAAAAAUUUAAGAGUCGAUCAGGGCUGUGUUGAAACACGAGCCAAAUUCCGCAGGAAUUCAUAAAUCAGUUCUAGUGCCACAAGAACCAAGCAAGAUGACCAACCAACUUUUUCACAAAACAGCUUUCAACAUUAACACCACUAGAACAAUUAUUGACAAUUAAUUUGCAGAAGAGAUUGUCAAAUGUGUUGUUUGUAAUUUAAAUGCAAGGCUGGACAUCACAUGAAAACCCAUGAGAGUACUGCACAAGUUCCAUUGACUUCCCCCACCCAGCAGAACCAGACUGAAAUUCCUAAGGGUGAAGGGCUUUGAACCUCUGGUCUCCACAGAAGUUUUUGUCAAGAGAAUGGCAAAGAAACUGUCUUUUGUACAUAUAUAUGGACCAGAAUGAACUUAUGGUCCUUAUGAAAAGACUUAUAAAUUAAUCAGUCCAUCGCUUCACUCCAUAUUCAUUUAUGUGUAACCCACACAUUUGACUAUCAUGUUAUAAUCACUUAUUGUGUAUGUCUUUUAAUAACUAUGGGAUAGCUUAAGGAUACAUAGUCAUGUCUAGUAUCUACGUAAUUGCUUGCUUGAAUUAGUCCAGACAAUAAUUUAUUUGUCACAUGUAUCGUAUUCCGGUUAUAGGAAUCAUGUCCAAAAUUAGACCCUGCAAGAGUGGGAAAAUCCGGACUACAUGCUUGGUAAGAUAAACAUGUGAUUUAUGAUACCCCCAAGCCAAGACUAUAUCUGAUUGGUCAAGACAACAUUUGAGGUGUGGCCAACAGGCCAGUUUAAAUACUUAGGACACCAUAAAAUCUCUGCUUUUAGGUGUUAGCUUUGCUUCUGCUAUUAGUCAUGCCUGCUUUUAGUUCUAGCCUUGCUUUUGCUAUCAGUCAUGCCAGCUUUUAGCUUUGCUUCUUAGCUUUAGCUUUUAGCCAUGCUGUUUGUCAUCACUGUUCCUUGAGCGCGGUUCCAGCAUGUUUCAGUUUUUCGAAAAUUAUUAUCAGUUUACCAAAAUUAUUGUUUCGAUACUGAUACCCUGUCAAGAAUUGCGAUUUCGAUACUUUUUCGAUACUUUUCCUGAAAAGGGAAAAUACACUCUCAAAUAUCAUUGAUGUGCAUUAUUUUAAAACCGGGACAACAUUCUAAACAUAUAACACACUAAUAAAUGAACAUAUGAACAGCAGAUAUAUUAAACAUUUGAACAAAAUAUGAAAUAUCAAAAUAUUAAAAAAAAAAAAAUAGAGCAAUGACAUUCAAGGUAAAGAAUAAAUUUAGCAGCGUUAUCUUGGUUAUCAUAAGAAACAUAAGAGUAAUAAAUGUAUCUUGAUUCUGAACUUUGAAUAAAAAUAUGAACAGCGAUUAUAUUAAACAAUGUUUCUGAACUCAGAAAAUUAAAUGUCAAAAGAUAAAUAAUAUCAAUUUAAGCAAUGGCAUUAAAUU